UUAUCAUCAUAAGAAUCAGCAGCAGCAGCAGCAGCAGCGGCGGCAACAUAGCUCCUAAAACAACCUUUAAGAGUACCAGAGUCCUUUGACAGCAUCAUCAAGCACAAAGCAACCUCUUCCUGCUCUUGCUCCAAAUCAGAAGCUAUGGAAGACGACAAAGACCCACCAGAGCCAUUCCCAUAGAGACCAAUGUUCUUGUACCUCACCAUUCUCUUGGAUCUCCUCCUCUUCUUACUUGGAGUUGAUGUCUCAGUAUCAGACAGACGAUCAUCAUCAUCAUCCAUCAACAAAUCCUCCUCUUCAUCUGAAUCAUAGCUGGAGUAGUUCCUGGAAUGACAAGCCAUAUGACCACAUAAAGCCUUGAGGGACUGAAACCCUUUACCACACUCUUUGCAAACCUUGAGCAAACCAUGGUGGUUGUUCUUGUUUGGAUCGACAUCAAACUUCUUGGUUUUCUUCGGAUUCUCCCUCA
rnacentral:lncRNA from 1 species